rnacentral:rRNA from 1 species
UACAGAGGGUGCGAGCGUUGUUCGGAAUUAUUGGGCGUAAAGGGCGCGUAGGCGGUGCGGUAAGUCACCUGUGAAAUCUCCUGGCUCAACUGGGAGCUUGCAGGCGAAACUGCCGUGCUGGAGUGUGGGAGAGGUGCGUGGAAUUCCUGGUGUAGCGGUGAAAUGCGUAGAUAUCAGGAGGAACACCUGUGGCGAAAGCGGCGCACUGGACCACAACUGACGCUGAGGCGCGAAAGCCAGGGGAGCAAACGGG